CUUACUGUAGAUUCUCUGGAAAGCCAUUUGGCGUUAUGUAUCAAUAAUCUGUAAAGUUCAUACCACAGAUGCACUUCUGAAAAUCUAUAUGGAAGAAAUAAUCAGAAAGUCAGAACAAGAUUUAUAUGCAAGAAUAUUAAUCACAAUGUUUUCUAUAAGGGUUACGUAUUCAAGAAUAUAAGAAUAUUUAAGUAAAAUGUGACUUACUCAUAUAGGAAUAUAAGGUGAUUAAAAUCAUAUUCCUGAAUAAUUUUUAGGGGCAUGAAAAUAAUCAUAAUAAUUCCAUUUAACUACUCUACCAGCAAAAUGCAACAUCAUGCAAACUAUUUAUUUUAUGCUCCCAAUUAUGUGAAAUGAAGAAUUCCAUUGGAAACAGGGCAUGUAAUGCUUGCAAUUAUACGUAUAUUUAAAAUUACCAAAAUAUUAAGUGUUUGGCCGGGCACGGUGGCUCAAGCCUGUCAUCCCAGCACUUUGGGAGGCUGAGGGAGGUGGAUCACAAGGUCAGGAGAUCGAGACCAUCCUGGCUAACACAGUGAAACCCCGUCUCUACUAAAAAUGCAAAAAACUAGCCGGGCGUGGUGGCAGGGCGCCUGUAGUCCCAGCUACUCGGAGGCUGAGGCAGGAGAAUGGCGUGAACCCAGGAGGCGGAGCUUGCAGUGAGCCGAGAUCCGGCCACUGCACUCCAGCCUGGGCGGCAGAGCGAGACUCCGUCUCAAAAAAAAAAAAAUAAAAAAAAAAAUAUUAAGUGUUUAACAUAUAGGGUGGACAUUCAGAAAAUUUAAUUUUCUUCUCCAAGGUUCUUCACAUUUCCUGUAAUGAGUAUGAAUUUUUUUUUUUUUUUUUGAGACAGGUUCUGGCUCUGUCACCCAGCCUGGAGGGCAGUGACACAAUCUUGGCUCACUGGAAUCUCCAUCUCUCAGGCUCAAGUGAUCCUCCCACCUUAGCCCCCCAAGUAGCUGGGACUACAGAGUCUUGCUCUUGUUGUCCAGGCUGAAGUGCAAUGGUGCGAUCUCGGCUCACUGCGAGCUUCGCCUCCCGGGUUCAAGCGAUUCUCCUGCCUCAGCUUCCU
rnacentral:lncRNA from 1 species